UAUUUAUUCUUGAUGUUUUCGUAGAAACGCGUUGUAAAUCACUUCGUGUAUUUUGAAGUUACCGUAAAAAAAACAAAAAAAAAACACGACCAUUAAUUUUGGGAAAUCCGGAUAAGCUCCCACCCGAAAUUUUACCUGCGUGCACUAGGUUAAAUUUAAUAUAUAGAUGCAAUAUAAACAUUACGUAUGUUAAUUGGAAACUCGAUCACCGUUAAUAAGAUAAUAUUCUGUGUCGAUAACUUGCGCUCGCGUUAGAGUAACACGGGAUUUAAUCCCUUUAAUUGCUGGAUGUUCAGCUACACACACUUUGGUAUUAGCAGCUUUCAGACGAACACGAGUGAUCUAUUUUUAUAACGCGUAUAGUAUAACUGUACCAAGAAUUUUG